rnacentral:rRNA from 1 species
CGUAAUUGCCGGCUCAGUUGAAAUACACGAGCAACCCAUUUGAAAUAAACGGCUUGACUCGGCGUAAUAAUUAUUCGCUGAGGACGUUUUCUUCAAAAGUAAGAGGUGCUUCUAAUGCGCUUUUAUAGCAUUUAUAUUUUAGACCUCAAAUCAGUCAGGACUACCCGCUGAACUUAAGCAUAUCAAUAAGCGGAGGAAAAGAAACUAACAAGGAUUCCCCUAGUAACGGCGAGUGAAGUGGGAAAAGCUCAACUUUGAAAUCUGGUACUUUCAGUAUCCGAAUUGUAGUCUCAAGAAGUGUUUUCUGUGCUGGUCCAUGUAUGAGUCUGUUGGAACACAGCGUCAUAGAGGGUGACAACCCCGUUCAUGACAUGGAUACCAGUGCUUUGUGAUACACUCUCGAAGAGUCGAGUUGUUUGGGAAUGCAGCUCAAAUUGGGUGGUAAAUUCCAUCUAAAGCUAAAUAUUGGCGAGAGACCGAUAGCAAACAAGUACCGUGAGGGAAAGAUGAAAAGCACUUUGGAAAGAGAGUUAACAGUACGUGAAAUUGUUGAAAGGGAAACGAUUGAAGUCAGACGUGCGUGAUGCGGUUCAGCUCUGGUUCGCCAGAGUGUACUCCGUAUCUUUGCAGGCCAACAUCGGUUUUGUUAGUCGGAUAAAGGUUUGAGAAAUGUGGCAUCUUCGGAUGUGUUAUAGUCUCAGACUGAAUACGAUUGAUGGGACCGAGGAACGCAGCGCGCCGCAAGGCAAAGGU